UAUCAUGUGACCUAAAAUUAAAAAUUAAAUAUUCGCCAUUAUGACUUAUACAGAAAAGUAGGAAAAGGGAGAAAGAAAAAAUUAUAUUCUGGUUGUGGGAGAAACAGUAUUAUAAAUUGUUGCUGGCUUAGAACAUGUAUUACAUUUUAUAUGCGAGCCCAUCCGCCCUUCAAGAUGCUGUUCCUGAAUUUGAACUGAGUUGAAUCUAUUUAGCUAUAAUUGGAUCUUCAACAGAUCAUUCUGCUGUUCUGCUUUGUGGUGAUGGGGCGCAUGAAUUCUGUGGGCGUGAUCACAUCUUUUAAUGUAAAAUGAAUUCCUUCAGAAGCUGUAGUGUAUGAGACAUAAUGAUGGUGAUACAAUCUGUAAAUUUGUUCGUGGUGUUGCUGGCAGAAGUGCCCUGGCCAGGGAAAACUUCACACGUCCAUACAGUUUCUGGAAGCUGGGAAGUUCAAGACAGAGGCACUGGCAGGUUCAGUGUGUGGUGACGGCCUCCUCCUGGUCCUCAGACGGCCAUCUGUUUUUGCUGUAUCCUCACAUGGAGAAAAAGUUCAGAUUCACCUCAGGAAACCAAGUACAAAAUAAACAAGACGUUCUGAUGUUCAGCUCGGAAUCUGACUGUGGAAACCUAAACCACGCAACUGCGCGAGCGAGAACGGCAGUAGCUCUGCCCCUUCUGCUCUCGAAGUGGGUGCCGUCUGCAGCUGAGGUUUGUGCACGAAAGCAGAACACAAGCGUGACACCAGUUUCUGUCUCAAGAGGAAGAAGUAUUAUGCCUCACCUAGAAUAGAUGAUUUCAUUCCUUAAUCCAUCUCAACGUUCAGCAUUUUCCCAAAGGAUCGUAAGAUGUCCGGGUUGAAGCAGAUGCAUGUUUUUCUCCAUCAAUACCAAUUGUCCUCUUAGCCAGAGAGCAUGUGACUGCCAAGACACGCUAGAAUUUGUUGACCCUCCCAGAGGGCUGGAAGAGCAAAGCAGCUCAUCUGCACCCCAUUUCUUCAGCCUGGUGGCAGUGUGACACAGUGCCUCUCACAGGAGUACUUUUCUGAAUCGCAGAGGGACACCGCGCAGUGAAGGUGCACUUCAUCAUAAUCCCCAAUGAACUUAAAGACGGUGACAUGAAAGCGGCAGUCAUGAAACCCUCCUGUGAGAGGUGCCCUCCAUGCCUGGAAGAAAGCAGCACCCUUAUCUUCAAAGACAACAAUCCGAACACACAGGCCUCACUAGUUUCCCUGUUUGCUGCAACCGCCUCGUGCUCUUCGGUGAGUCACACUUCUCCAUGGCUGUCCGUUCAUCAUCAGACCCAGCAGAGAAUACUCAGGCCAAACCAUUUCUUUGGUUCUCCCUCAUUUCCUUAUGAAGGAUUCCAUGUCAUACAAGUAAAUGUAAGUUUAAUAUAAGUAAAACUUUUAAAUAACUCCAUAUGCUUUUCUCCUGUUGAUCUGUUUCACACCCAGCCAGGGACCCUAAGAUGGUCAAGGAGAAGUUUGUCCUCCCAACACCAGACAAUUUAACAUCACAUCCCCUCCAAAGAAAGGAGAGGCAGUGAUCCAAGGAAGGUCAUCAUGUUCCUUCCCAGGCAUUCCCCGAAGGGGGUUAGGAGGAAUCCCAGCUUCUUGGUGUUUGCAGUGCUAUGAGGAUGGGAGUCCAGGAAUGCCAGUCUAACAAGGUCACUAAGACAGACACAGAGAGGCAAGGGACAGGGCAAAUGACGUGCAGUCUUGACAGCAUUUGGCUGCCUGGAUCCAGUCAUCCCUAAAGCCACACCCACUCCUGUGAUUUGGUUCCGUAGCCCUGAAAUGCCUUGUUUUUGCAUAAGCCUGAUUGAACCGGUCUCUACCACUUCUAAUAGAAGUUUGAUCAAUACAGACAUCUGCUUUAAGAAUUACUGUAUCAGGGUGAUGGGAAUGCUCCAAGAUUAGGUUAUGGUGAUGGCUGCACUCCAUCACUGAGUGGAAAUCAUUAAAUUUUAUAUUUGAAGCAAGUACAUUUUAUUGCAUUAAAUUACAUGUGCAAUAAAGCUGUUAAAAAGUA